rfam:Absidia glauca strain CBS 101.48 genome assembly, contig: contig_1020
GCCGGGAUAGUAUAGUGGCAGUACAUUGCGUUGUGGCCGCACUGACCUGAGUUCGAUUCUCAGUCCCGGCA